UACGUAGGGCGCAAGCGUUGUCCGGAUUUAUUGGGCGUAAAGAGCGUGUAGGCGGCCAGGUAGGUCUGGUGUGAAAACUCGAGGCUCAACCUCGAGAGGUCAUCGGAAACCAUCUGGCUAGAGUCCGGAAGAGGAGAGUGGAAUUCCCGGUGUAGCGGUGAAAUGCGCAGAUAUCGGGAAGAACACCUAUGGCGAAGGCAGCUCUCUGGGCCGGUACUGACGCUGAGACGCGAAAGCGUGGGGAGCGAACAGG
rnacentral:rRNA from 1 species